rnacentral:rRNA from 1 species
UACGGGGGGGGCAAGCGUUGUUCGGAAUUACUGGGCGUAAAGGGCUCGUAGGUGGCCAACUAAGUCAGACGUGAAAUCCCUCAGCUUAACUGGGGAACUGCGUCUGAUACUGGAUGGCUUGAGUUUGGGAGAGGGAUGCGGAAUUCCAGGUGUAGCGGUGAAAUGCGUAGAUAUCUGGAGGAACACCGGUGGCGAAGGCGGCGUCCUGGACCAAUACUGACACUGAAAAGCGAAAGCCAGGGGAGCAAACGGG